rnacentral:pre_miRNA from 1 species
GGUGUACUCCCUCCGUCCGAAAUUACUUGUCAUCAAAACGGAUGAAAAUGGAUGUAUCGAGAACUAAAAUACAUCUAGAUACAUUCAUUUCAAUGACAAGUAUUUCCGGGCGGAGGGAGUAGUAA